rnacentral:rRNA from 1 species
GAUGAACGCUGGCGGCGUGCCUAACACAUGCAAGUCGAACGGAGCUGCUUUGAUGAAGUUUUCGGAUGGAUUUAAAACAGCUUAGUGGCGGACGGGUGAGUAACGCGUGGGUAACCUGCCUCACACUGGGGGAUAACAGUUAGAAAUAGCUGCUAAUACCGCAUAAGCGCACAGUUCCGCAUGGAACAGUGUGAAAAACUCCGGUGGUGUGAGAUGGACCCGCGUCUGAUUAGCCAGUUGGCGGGGUAACGGCCCACCAAAGCGACGAUCAGUAGCCGGCCUGAGAGGGUGAACGGCCACAUUGGGACUGAGACACGGCCCAAACUCCUACGGGAGGCAGCAGUGGGGAAUAUUGCACAAUGGGGGAAACCCUGAUGCAGCGACGCCGCGUGAGUGAAGAAGUAUUUCGGUAUGUAAAGCUCUAUCAGCAGGGAAGAAAGUGA